CCCAUCCCCAUGAGGGAGUAAGACUCCUGGUAGACCACCAGGUAGAUAGGCCGCAGGUGUAAGCACGGCGACGUGUUCAGCCGAGCGGUACUAAUAGGUCGAGGGCUUGAUGAU
rnacentral:rRNA from 1 species